AAGUCGUAACAAGGUUUCCUUUCAUAAGUCUUGAGGAAUAAUGAUUCUUCCGCAGUGAUACUUGUUGAAGCCUUUGCAACCUCGCAAGAGGGAUGUUCCAGCGACUGUAAACAAUUGGUUCUUUAUGCAAGUCAGUCUUGUACUGGCGACACUUUCGAAUUGACGGGGACGCCCUAAAGCCUAUGACACCAACCUAUGAGGGAAACCUACAUAGGGGCACAUGCUAACAACAUGUGGAUAAGGUAAAAGAGCAUAGGAUAUAUGGGUAAUCCGCAGCGAAGCCUCUAAGUCUUUAUGAUAUGAGGAACGUUCACAGACUAAGUGGAAGUGGGUGGGGACUCGAGUCCUGCUUAAGAUAUAGUCGGGCCUCUGAGGAAACUCGGGGGGUAAAUCACUGUGCUGAUAACUGUCAGCUUGAGAAAACGUUCCGUAGGUGAACCUGCGGAAGGAUCAUCAUUGAAUUUCCGGCGUUACUGCUGGCACACACGCUGCCCUCGUGGUGGCAACUCUCAAACCCAAACUAGUCUGUGUAUGUGUAACUUUGUAAUAAAAUACAA
rnacentral:misc_RNA from 1 species